AGCAUGGUCUUAGCUUGCUAAGACUGAUGGCGACCGGCGCACGGGUGAGUAACGCGUAUCCAACCUGCCUUACACUCUUGGACAGCCUUCUGAAAGGGAGAUUAAUACAAGAUGUUAUCAUGAGUAAGCAUUUUCGCAUGAUUAAAGGUUUACCGGUGUAAGAUGGGGAUGCGUUCCAUUAGAUAGUAGGCGGGGUAACGGCCCACCUAGUCUUCGAUGGAUAGGGGGACUGAGAGGUUAACCCCCACACUGGUACUGAGACACGGACCAGACUCC
rnacentral:rRNA from 1 species